rnacentral:rRNA from 1 species
CUACGUGCCAGCAGCCGCGGUAAUACGGAGGAUGCGAGCGUUAUCCGGAUUUAUUGGGUUUAAAGGGUGCGUAGGCGGUUUGUUAAGUCAGCGGUGAAAUCUAGAGGCUCAACCUCGAAACUGCCGUUGAAACUGGCGAACUUGAGUGUAGAUGAGGUAGGCGGAAUUCGUGGUGUAGCGGUGAAAUGCAUAGAUAUCACGAGGAACUCCGAUUGCGAAGGCAGCUUACUAAGGUGCAACUGGCGCUGAAGCACGAAAGCGUGGGUAUCAAACAGGAUUAGAUACCCUGGUAGUCCACGCAGUAAACGAUGAUAACUGGGCGUAUGCGAUAUACAGUAUGCUCCUAAGCGAAAGCGUUAAGUUAUCCACCUGGGGAGUACGCCGGCAACGGUGAAACUCAAAGGAAUUGACGGGGGCCCGCACAAGCGGAGGAACAUGUGGUUUAAUUCGAUGAUACGCGAGGAACCUUACCCGGGCU